GACGAACGCUGGCGGCGUGCUUAACACAUGCAAGUCGAACGGAAAGGCCCUGCUUUUGUGGGGUGCUCGAGUGGCGAACGGGUGAGUAACACGUGAGUAACCUGCCCUUGACUUUGGGAUAACUUCAGGAAACUGGGGCUAAUACCGGAUAGGAGCUCCUGCUGCAUGGUGGGGGUUGGAAAGUUUCGGCGGUUGGGGAUGGACUCGCGGGUUAUCAGCUUGUUGGUGGGGUAGUGGCUUACCAAGGCUUUGACGGGUAGCCGGCCUGAGAGGGUGACCGGCCACAUUGGGACUGAGAUACGGACCAGAAUCCUACGGGAGGCAGAAGUGGGGAAUAUUGCACAAUGGGCGGAAGCCUGAUGCAGCAACGCCGCGUGCGGGAUGACGGCCUUCGGGUUGUAAACCGCUUUCGCCUGUGACGAAGCGUGAGUGACGGUAAUGGGUAAAGAAGCACCGGCUAACUACGUG
rnacentral:rRNA from 1 species